rnacentral:rRNA from 1 species
ACUAGUGAUUUCCGUAGGUGAACCUGCGGAAGGAUCAAUUAUACGAAUCCAACCAUCCAAACCAAUAAUUUACUGUGAGUUGCUUCGGCAAUUCGAUGGCGUUUGGCGGCUACCGCGACGGUAGUUGGCUUCUCGCCGGUGCUCACCAUUUUUUUUUCAACCGUAACAUCAUCAAUAUUUUUUGUUGUUUUCACAACUUUUAGCGAUGGAUGUCUCGGCUCAGGUAACGAUGAAGGACGCCGCAAAAUGCGAUAAGCGCUGUGAAUGGCAGAAUUCCGCGAAUCAAUAGAAUGCUGAACGCAUACUGCACUUUCACUUUAUAAGUGAAAGGAUGUCUGGUUCAGGGCUUUAAAACUAUUAUGCCUCCAAAAAUGCAGUUUUCUAAACUGCUAUUUGGUGUGCGUUCUUGUGUGUUAGCGACGUCCAUCCGUUGACGCAUGAAAUUCAAAAGCUUUUAGCUGACUCAGAUCCUACCUGGAUACAAGCUCUGCUUUUUCGGUGGGAUUCUGAUGGCAAAAGUUUCAGUACUUUUUUACAUGGCAUGAACUCAGAUAAGAUUACACGGUGAAUUUAAGCAUAUCAA